rnacentral:misc_RNA from 1 species
GAUGAAGAACGUAGCGAAAUGCGAUAAGUAAUGUGAAUUGCAGAAUUCAGUGAAUCAUCGAAUCUUUGAACGCACAUUGCGCCCCCUGGCAUUCCGGGGGGCAUGCCUGUUCGAGCGUCAUUUCACCACUCAAGCCUCGCUUGGUAUUGGGCAACCCGGUCCGCCGCGUGCCUCAAAUCGACCGGCUGGGUCUUCUGUCCCCUAAGCGUUGUGGAAACUAUUCGCUAAAGGGUGUUCGGGAGGCUACGCCGUAAAACAACCCCAUUUCUAAGGUUGACCUCGGAUCAGGUAGGGAUACCCGCUGAACUUAAGCAUAUCAAUAAGCGGAGGA